UCGACCAAGGUUCGAUUCGAGCGCAGCGAGAAAGCGUUGCCGCAGGCAACGACCCGAAGGGCGAAGCGCGCAGCGCUGAGUCAUCCUUCCCCCACCACCA
rnacentral:sRNA from 3 species